GCUGGGCUGCGCGGCGCGCGGGAGAAAGUGGGCCGAGGCGGCUGCUGGGCCGGCUCGGGCCUGAGGUAAGGUAAGUUUUCUUUUCUUUUUCCUUUUCCUUUUCUAUUUUCUCUUUUGCAAAUAGUCUUUGAUUCAAAAUUCAAAUACCAUUUUGAAUAGCCGAGAAGUAGGAGAAAUCAAAUAUGGCACUAAUAUUUGGGAGUAUUCAAAUGGGAUAAAGGUUUUAAAAACAAAUCCCAUUUGAAUAUCUUUUGUAAAAUAUAGG
rnacentral:lncRNA from 1 species